AUUGAACGCUGGCGGCAUGCUUUACACAUGCAAGUCGAACGGCAGCACGGGGGCAACCCUGGUGGCGAGUGGCGAACGGGUGAGUAAUGCAUCGGAACAUACCCAGUCGUGGGGGAUAACGUAGCGAAAGUUACGCUAAUACCGCAUACGUCCUGAGGGAGAAAGCGGGGGAUCGCAAGACCUCGCGCGAUUGGAGUGGCCGAUGUCAGAUUAGCUAGUUGGUGGGGUAAAGGCCCACCAAGGCGACGAUCUGUAGCGGGUCUGAGAGGAUGAUCCGCCACACUGGGACUGAGACACGGCCCAGACUCCUACGGGAGGCAGCAGUGGGGAAUUUUUGGACAAUGGGGGAAACCCUGAUCCAGCCAUGCCGCGUGCGGGAAGAAGGCCU
rnacentral:rRNA from 1 species